ACCCAGUGCGGAGCCUCACCUACGGGUUGCUCCCCCUUGCCGGCCUACGUGCCCCACGUGGCUAGCAUUGGACCCUUACCUGACGCCCUUGGAGAAGUCCCUUCCUUCAUCUGCACGUUUACGGAGCCAUAUCUCAGCAAGAAAGGAGGCUCAAGAAUGUCUCUAUCAAUCAUUGUGGAGAAAACAUUCUGUUUGCGACUAUCUGACGACUCGGCUACUACCAAAAUGAACCCAGAUUGCACAAGCCAGAAACCAAUCCGCAUAUGUUAAUUCCGACAGGGAGCUUGGGCUCCACUGGUUGAUAAUUGUUCAUGGACUUGCAACAUAAUCAACUGAGUAGAAAAAAGAAAAUCUUGAAGAGUCGUUGUGCUUUUCUACGACGCAGCCUACACUCCUCUCCAGGAUAACUGGUUAGACCCCAAAGACCAGAGAUGUCGGACGAAACAUCGUUCUCAGUGUAUUCGUUCCCCCAAAAGGGCUGACCUCCAGUGCUUUGUAUAGAAAAAAAGUGCAUUUUA